GGAGAUAGCUGGUUCUCCUCGAAAGCUAUUUCGGUUGCGCGCUGAUGUAUCACUCUGGGGGGUAGAGCACUGUUUCGGCUAGGGGGUCAUCCCGACUUACCAAACCGAUGCAAACUCCGAAUACCCAGAAGUGCCGAGCAUGGGAGACACACGGCGGGUGCUAACGUCCGUCGUGAAAAGGGAAACAACCCAGACCGCCAGCUAAGGUCCCAAAGUUGUGGUUAAGUGGUAAACGAUGUGGGAAGGCUUAGACAGCUAGGAGGUUGGCUUAGAAGCAGCCAUCCUUUAAAGAAAGCGUAAUAGCUCACUAGUCGAGUCGGCCUGCGCGGAAGAUGUAACGGGGCUCAAACCACACACCGAAGCUGCGGGUGUCACGUAAGUGACGCGGUAGAGGAGCGUUCUGUAAGCCUGUGAAGGUGAGUUGAGAAGCUUGCUGGAGGUAUCAGAAGUGCGAAUGCUGACAUGAGUAACGACAAUGGGUGUGAAAAACACCCACGCCGAAAGACCAAGGGUUCCUGCGCAACGUUAAUCGACGCAGGGUUAGUCGGUUCCUAAGGCGAGGCUGAAAAGCGUAGUCGAUGGGAAACAGGUUAAUAUUCCUGUACUUCUGGUUACUGCGAUGGAGGGACGGAGAAGGCUAGGCCAGCUUGGCGUUGGUUGUCCAAGUUUAAGGUGGUAGGCUGAAAUCUUAGGUAAAUCCGGGGUUUCAAGGCCGAGAGCUGAUGACGAGUCGUCUUUUAGAUGACGAAGUGGUUGAUGCCAUGCUUCCAAGAAAAGCUUCUAAGCUUCAGGUAACCAGGAACCGUACCCCAAACCGACACAGGUGGUCGGGUAGAGAAUACCAAGGCGCUUGAGAGAACUCGGGUGAAGGAACUAGGCAAAAUGGCACCGUAACUUCGGGAGAAGGUGCGCCGGCUAGGGUGAAGGAUUUACUCCGUAAGCUCUGGCUGGUCGAAGAUACCAGGCCGCUGCGACUGUUUAUUAAAAACACAGCACUCUGCAAACACGAAAGUGGACGUAUAGGGUGUGACGCCUGCCCGGUGCCGGAAGGUUAAUUGAUGGGGUUAGCGCAAGCGAAGCUCUUGAUCGAAGCCCCGGUAAACGGCGGCCGUAACUAUAACGGUCCUAAGGUAGCGAAAUUCCUUGUCGGGUAAGUUCCGACCUGCACGAAUGGCGUAACGAUGGCGGCGCUGUCUCCACCCGAGACUCAGUGAAAUUGAAAUCGCUGUGAAGAUGCAGUGUAUCCGCGGCUAGACGGAAAGACCCCGUGAACCUUUACUGUAGCUUUGCACUGGACUUUGAGCCUGCUUGUGUAGGAUAGGUGGGAGGCUUUGAAGCGUGGACGCCAGUUCGCGUGGAGCCAUCCUUGAAAUACCACCCUGGCAUGCUUGAGGUUCUAACUCUGGUCCGUGAUCCGGAUCGAGGACAGUGUAUGGUGGGCAGUUUGACUGGGGCGGUCUCCUCCUAAAGAGUAACGGAGGAGUACGAAGGUGCGCUCAGACCGGUCGGAAAUCGGUCGCAGAGUAUAAAGGCAAAAGCGCGCUUGACUGCGAGACAGACACGUCGAGCAGGUACGAAAGUAGGUCUUAGUGAUCCGGUGGUUCUGUAUGGAAGGGCCAUCGCUCAACGGAUAAAAGGUACUCCGGGGAUAACAGGCUGAUACCGCCCAAGAGUUCAUAUCGACGGCGGUGUUUGGCACCUCGAUGUCGGCUCAUCACAUCCUGGGGCUGAAGCCGGUCCCAAGGGUAUGGCUGUUCGCCAUUUAAAGUGGUACGCGAGCUGGGUUUAGAACGUCGUGAGACAGUUCGGUCCCUAUCUGC
rnacentral:rRNA from 1 species